GAUGAGUCGUUAUCCAUCGGAUCCCACCUAGAGGUCGCUCUUGGUGAUGCUGGGACCUUUGCUCAAAUGCAGGCCGACCCCGACAGGCAACGCCUCCUAGGGGAGAGGCCUUUACACGACCCUAUAGCUGACAUCAUGCUCAAGGAGAUCCAGCAUCAAGAGAGAUAUGAAGAACUGUU